AAGAAAUUUUUUUACUAAUCUUUUUACCUUGAAUCUUUUUUCAAUCAUGGAAACCUUAUGAACGCAACUUUUUCCAGUCAAAUAUUUGAUCUUCUUGCGCUCUCUUUCCUACUGUUUCAUCUCUUAGUCUGCAUUGAGCUGCUGCAGUGUCAGCAAAAUUUGCCAGAGACGUUCCGUGAAGAAGCGAUCGACAAGAUUCCUUUUGGCGAUCAGAAUUCAGACGACUUUGAUGAUUAUGAAGAACUUUGGUUGUUGCGGCUAUUUUUCUUCCCACUUAUGAUUGUUCGUUCAUUCCGUUCCUCCUCAGCUUCUUCGCAAUGAACUUGAGGAGAUGGGCCCCAGUGGUUCUAUGUGCUGAUCCUCCAAUAUCUGUUGCUAGUGUCAGCUGCAAAGCAACAACAAUAAUUAGCAAAAUCAUUACGCAGGAAAGUAGAAACUAUUUUCUAUAUUAGGUAAAUUUAUUUUUUGCAUAUAAAAGCUUCAUCUGUAGUGCUUAUUUCCCCCCCAAAAAAAAAAGCAAGAAGAAGGAGAAGAAGUAGAAGAAGAAAAAAAGCUACAACUUUUGUAUUCAAAUAGAUGAAAUAAUGCCACUCAAAGGAGAAAAUCACAUGGUUUUCAUAUAAGUUUAUUUGGCUAAGAUUUACUACCAUGUGAGAGAUGAUAGAACUUCAUGACUUCAAUCAAUAAUUUGUGUUGCAUUUAAUUUCAACAUGAUAUAGUCGCAUAAAUUAUUAGCCCCCUUGUUCAGUACUCCAGCCAUCUAUCUGUAAUUUUUUGUUGAGUGGUUUCAGACCUGAAGGAAAUAUCUGAUUGUAUGCAUUCUGGUUGCAUCUAUGUGAAAGUUGGUUCUUUGUUGAGAGGUUUCAAAAACAGAAAUAGAAAGUUUUCAGAACCAAUGGAUUAUGGAGUACCAAAGGUGGUCGCCUGUGUUGUAAAUUUCAUUGGGUGAUAUGUAUGGCACUGAUUAGUGGAAAUGGUCUGGAAGCUACUAAGCACCAUUCCCCCUUUAUUUCUGAUGCAGAUGCUGGAACUCUUGACCAGUGGCAUAUUUCUCUUCUUCCAGUUUCCUUUUGCUUUUAUACUAUUUUGUGAAUGGUGGUGCUGAACAAAUAUAAAAUAAUAACAAAAGAAAGAUAAGAUAUGAUAGAGUUUCGAGAUAAUGGGUGAUUUGGGAAGAUAUAUAUUGUAAAUAAAUAUUAUUUUUAAUUUAUUUUAGAUAUUUUCUAUUUAAUAAUAUUUUUUAAUUUUUUUAGAUUUUAUAUAGAUAUUUAGAUAUUUAUUUAGAUAUCUAUAUAUUUAUCCAGAUAUAUAAUAAUUUUAUAUAGAUAUAUAGAUUUUAUUCAAAUAUUUAUUUCUUUAGAUUUUAUUUAGUAUUUUAUAUAGGUAUAGAUUCUAGGAGAUUUUAUCCAAUUUCAUUUAAUUAUCUAGUUAUCAAGAUUUUAUUCAUUAUUUUAGAUUGUAUUUAGCAUUAUAAAUACGCUUAGCAACUUAGAAGUAUAGAAUGAUAUCCUUUGGAUAUCAUUAUAUCAUGGAAAAAACAGACUUUUGAAACUUUUGGCCCUUUGGAUAUUCUCUUAAGCGUGAUUAUUGAAAAAAGUAUAGAAUGAUAUCCUUGUGUUAUAUCAUCUUGAUGGAUUUGUUUCUUCUAUUUUCUUCUACCAGUUCUAUGUUAACUUAUUAAUAUUAUGAAGUUAGAUUCUGAUUUUAUAUGUUAAUAAAGAUUUAUCUUCCUUAUUUUUCUCUAUCCAUCUUAGAUCCUAUCAUUUGGCAUCAAAGCCGUUUGAUCCAAAGAUGGUACCUACCUAUUCCACAUGCCUUUUUCACAAAUUCACAUUUUCACCACCUAUCCCAUCCUAUUAUCAUCCAUCUUCUAGAAACACAUUUUCCCAAGUAUAAUGGUGGAGAUCCACAACCAUGGAUUUUAGAGGCAAAAAAUUAUUUUCAAUAUUAUCACACUUUUGAAGACUUCAAAGUUGAUAUUGCAAUGAGGCAUUUAGAGGGAGACGCUCAUGUUUUCUUCACUUCUAUUAACACGGAACAUACAAUUCUCUAUUGGGAAGAAUUAGUGGAGUUGUUACUAGAAAAUUAUGAGCCUCUAAAAUUUCAGAACCCAGAUGAGUUCUUAUGAAGCAUCGAGCAAACUGGUUCUGUGCAGGAGUAUCGGUUAGAAUUCGUUAGGCACUUUGCUUAUGUGAAGAAUUGGCUAGAACAUUGCCUCUUGGAAGUCUUCAUCAAAGGCCUCAAGGACAAGCUCAAAUCUGAUGUUCGGAUUCAUAAACCUAAGACAGUUUAUCGGGCUGUUAGUUUGGCCCUUGAAUGAGUUAAAAGUCCAAAAUUUUUGCAGGCUCAAAACUGCCCAGCAGUCCCUUUGUUUCCUUCAGUCUCUUAUCAAACAGCACGUGACUUUAAAGAGACAUCAGCAUCGACUUCAAACUCGUUUCGUCACAAGCCAACAUCUAAAAUGGCUUCCAUGGAAGCCAAAUAGCAGCGACAACAAGAGAUGGGAAUGUGUUUCAGCUGUGGUGAGACUAUCAAACCUGGGCAUCACUGCAAGGGAUCUUUUUCACUGCUGGAAAUUACUGAGGAGGGAGAAGAAAUUAUUCCUUCCCUUGAAGAGGACAAAAUCAUGGAGAUGGAACCUAGUGGGGUUGAAAUUUCCCUCAAUGCUAUUCUAGAUAGCAACAACAUCUCUGCAAAGAAGCUUUAAAGGAGCUUCUUUGAAUGCCAGGUUGAACUUGGUGGAUAGUAGGUCUAACUACAACUUUUUCCUUGAAGUUCCCAUGCAGCCUCUUCUUUGACCUUUUGGAAUCCACAUUGGACAUACUGCUAUUUAUCUAUUACUCCGAUCUCAACCUCUAGAGAGACAAGAAAGCUUUUGCCUAUAUCUUGCCUUGAGGACUAGGCGAAUUUUCAAGGGGGGAGUAUUGAUAGAGUUUCAAGAUAAUGAGUGAUCUGGGAAGAUAGAUAUUAUACAUAAAUAUUAUUUUUAAUUUACUUUAGAUAUUUUCUAUUUAAUAAUUGUUUAAAUUUUAUUUAGGUGUUUUGUUAUUUAGAUUUUAUAUAGAUAUUUAGAUAUUUAUAUAUUUAUCCAGAUAUCUAGUUAUUUAGAUUUUAUUCAAAUAUUUAUUUCUUUAGAUUUUAUUUAGUAUUUUAUAUAGAUAAAUAUUUUAGAAGAUUUUAUUCAAUUUUAUUUAAUUAUUUAGUUAUCUAGAUUUUAUUCAUUAUUUUAGAUUGUAUUUACCAUUAGAAAUUUGCUUAGCAACUUAGAAGCAAGCAUAUCAUGAAAAAAAAAAAACAGACUUUUGAGACUUUUAGUCUUUUGGAGAUUUUCCUAAACAUGGCUAUCAAGAGAAAUAUAGAAUGAGAUUUUUGUUUUAUAUCAUCUUGAUGGAUUUGUUUCUUCUAUUUUCUUCUAUCAGUUCUAUGUUAUCUUAUUAAUAUCAUGAAGUUAGAUUUUGAUUUCAUAUGUUAAUAGAGAUUUAUCUUCCUUAUCUCUCUCUACCCAUCUUGGAUCCUAUCAAGAUAUGCCCCCCUGAAAGUAAAAUAUUUCCCAGGAGUUUUAUGGCAUGAACAUGAAUAGCUUGACAAUUAACCUAGACUCGGACUUGAGAAAGUAAAUGAGCUUUCAGCAGUUAGAAACUUUUGGCCCUUUAUUUUAUUUGAAAGACCACAGACAGUUUUCUGAUUCUGCCAAUGUAUCCAUAUUAAUAUGGCUUGGGAAACUUUUGGUCUCCAAUCUCCUCUUCUCGCCAUAAAAAUUAGAGUUAUAGGGCUUGUUUGGCAACUUAUUCUGAAAAUAGUUUUUUAUUCUCUAAAAUAAAAAAACUAAAAAAAUGUGUUCAGUAAUGUAUUUUUAGAAAGUGUUUUGGAGGAAAAAAAACCAAAUAUUUCUUUGGAAAAUAAAAAAAAUGAAAAUUUCUUUUAGGUGUUUUAGAAUUAUUGUUUUGGAGAACAAAUGAGAAUACAAAAAGUACCUAUUUUCAUUUUUUCCCUUAAAACGUGUUUUACAAAACAUUAGUUCUAAGAAUAAUAAAACAAAAACAGUUUCAAAUAAGCCCAUAUAUUAUAGCUAGUUAAUAUGUUUCCCACAUUUUUAUUUCUUUAACAUCAGUAUAAAUAUAAAGCAUAAACACAGAUGCCAACUUUGAAGGUUUUAUAACUGCUCUAAACCCAUCUCUUAUCUUUUUUGAAGUUAUAUCCAUUAAUUCAGCAAUAAAGAUGUUGCACAAAAUGCUUAUUGAAAAAAAAAAAAGAAUGUUACACAAAAUGAUAAAAAGUAUGUGAGAGGAUUAGCACAACUGAAAACUGAUAAUUGAAUUUUUCUUUAAAAAAAAAAUCAAAAGUGAAUAGGACUAGCAGUUUGCUGGGUUGUGUGCAGAGUGUAAUAGUUAUUUUUAAUGUUCUUAUUUGUUCAUAAUAAGAUUUUAUAGACAUAACAAGGGUAGAAAACAAGAAAGACUCCCCCCCUCCCCAAAAAAAAAAAUCCUUAAGACACCGUUUUAUCAUAAUAGUUUCUCUGGGAAAGUAAAUUAUCAGUCUAUUAUUUCAUCUUUACUACAGUUGCUGAAGUUCCUGAACUUCUGAUUUUCUAUUUUCCCCAAAUUUUGCUACAUUAGUCCCACUGAUAUGGUAGCAAUAUAUUUUUUCUUUAUUGCUGUAAGAAUUGUCACUCGAAGUCAGUCAUGAAUUGCUGUAGAUUAAUAGACUGAUAUCAUUUUCAGCAUUUUGAUGGAGAACAAUAUUUUAUAGUGAGCGUUCACUCUCUUCUUAUGUGUUAACUGCUGAUUUGUUUUUAAAUAGAUUUGUUUUUUUAAUGAUUGAUGCAUAUAUUUUCAUAGACGUAUAUGGUUCUAAUUCUUGUUAAUAACUCGCUCCAUUAAAGAAUAUACAAGGGCAGAUAUGUUUACAAACUUAAUAUAUACAUUCAGUCUAGUGAUGAUAAUGUUUACGGAUCCUUUGGCAACUCUAAUAAUUCAUGUCUGAAGUAUUGAUCCCUUUUGUUGACCAAAUAUCAGCCAGACCUUCUAACUCUUAGCAAAUAAGACAUGUUUGGAAUAUGACGAGGGCCUCUUCUUUAUCAUAUUUAAUAAAAUAUGGCUGUCGUCAUGAGUAGGCUGUUGCUUUCUGAAAUAUUUGUUGGCCUGGAGCAAGUAUUGCCAAUGGGUCAAAAACAGAUUUUCUCUUCAGAAAAAGCUCCCACUUGGGACCAAAGUGGCCCCUCCAUCCUUCUCGUGUAGUGUAAUGGGGAAGAUAUUGCUUAACCCUAAUACGGGCUCUUUCACAGUAUUCUAAAAUUCUUUUAUUCUGAGUUAAAAUGUAUUCUAGGCCAUCAGGUCCAUUGGAAGAGGGGACUGCAGAGGUAAGAAAUGCCACCAAAUAGAAAAUAUCUUCCUCUGGAAUAACAACAGAAGUUUUAUUGUCCCACCUGUAAGUACCAUCAAAUGUUAAUACCAUAUCAAGGCCAAAGUAUCGGUAGAGAGAAAAUUGUGUUAUGAACCAUUACUUUGAUUUAUUUACUGGGUAGAUCAGGACAGGGCCAUUGCUUGUUUCUGUUAGAAUAUUUCCAAAGACAACUUCUGCAAAUUUGUGUAUUUGGCUUUUAGGGAUAAAAAGAUUGAGCCAUGGGUGUGGAACAUCCCACAAGCCUUUUGACCGCAACUUGACCUCAGAGACAUGAACCCUGUCUAAGAAAUCUACAUAUGUGACUUCUGUUAGAAAAAGUGUUGAUGGGAUGUAAUUCAAGUGGGACAAGUGCUUCUCAACUUCCUGCAUAAGAAAAAAAAAAAGAAAUGAAAAAGAAGCAAUCAAAUAAAUAUCAUGGGACAAUGCACCUAGAUUUGUUUUUUCGAAAAGGAAAAAAAGUAAUAACUAUAUUUAUUCAUUUAUGUUAUAUGCAAGAGACCAUUCUUCUGGUUGAGGUGUUGCUUGCCUCACCUGAUUUGCUUCAUCAUUAUCUUCUGGGUCAAAGUAUUUGGCCAAUUCUAGGCAGAAUAGAGUUCUUCCAUCUGAUUUGAACUUGCUAGCUUGAACAGGGUCUUGCGGGUUGAAGGAUGAUCUCCAGUUAUUUAACAGACCAGUUCUGUUUAUUAUCACAAAUCCUUCAAUAUAGUCGAAUGCAUUUUCUGCAAAUAUUAAUAGCUCUUGGUCUCUUGUGAAUGCUGUGAAAUCCGCAUAUAGUACUCUGAUCCACUUUACCUGGUUAAAAUAGAAAUUUCCUGUGAUGACGAUUGAUGCUUUCAAAAUUUUAAAUUGAAUAAGAAGGCUUUGUUUGUGGUAUUGUCACCAAAGCAUUACCAUUGCUGGUGCUGGUUCCAGGGAGAUUCUUGCUCGUGUUAUUAUGCCAAACUGACCAAGGCCCCCAAGUACGCUGUGAAAGAGUUCACUAUUCUGCUCUUGAGAACAGUCUAACACCUCUCCUUUUCCUGCAAUCAUUUACUAACCUUUUAUAAUCAUCCAAGAGGAAGUGUUUCUGUUUUUUCUUUUUAUUUCCAAUCAAACACUUUCCUAUGUCACCAAGGUCUAGUUAUCAAAUGUAUAACAAGGAACCUUGUGAAGCUAUUACGUUUCAAGUGAAUUAUUAGUUCAGAUGGGACAAAACAGAAACUGCGUGACUAGUUUUGUCCCCUCCAUCCCUGACCUUGAUUUUAGUUUUGGUACCAAGUUACGAACCUGUUACAAUCUCCAGCUGCUGAACAUUACUUAUCUGGGGGCCAUGACGAAAUGCCUGCCCGCUGAUACCAGCGUUGGACAGAGUGCCUCCAACAGUCAGGUGCAGGUAGUCUGUCCAUGACUUUGGCGCUAACCCAUAUUUUAGACUUUCAUGCAGGAUGUUUAUCCACAACUCGCCCCCGGAGACGUCCACAUGUGGAUGAGUUCCAGUAUAUACCUGCAUUUCGGGGAUCUUGAUAGAUUCCAUGUUGAUCACAACUCCUUCGUGAGCUUGUGCCUGGCCCUGGAGGGAGUGACCAUGGCCUCUGGCUGCAACAGUUAGUUGUGAGCGAGGACCCAUCUGCCAGAUAUGCUUUAUAGUGGCUGCAAUAUCAGAAGCUGAUUUUGGGUGCAGCACUGCCAUCGGAUGACGUUGAUACCUGUUACCGAAGUCUCGGGCUGCAUGGCUGACAUCAUCAAAAUUGAGAUGUCCUUCAAGGGGAAGUGUUCUUAAGGAAGAAGGGAUGCUGGGAAUGCAGAAGUUAAGCCCAAUGGUUAUACAACUAAGGAACAAGAUCAUGAAGCCUUUGAUAAAUAAGUUGUUACGUUCUCUAGAAAGGCCGAGUUUUGGGAAUGUCAUUUUCAUGUUGGCAGCCAAAGGCAGAAGAAACAGAAGGAGAAGAGGUGAUGGGGGGUGAAGGAGUUCAAAGGGUUGGGCCAGAAUUUAAAGAAGUUAUGGGUGGCUGAGUCCUCAAGUCAAACCAUGUUCAGUUAUGAGAAUCCGUAUGAAGACUGCCUACUACGUAGAAAGAGCUUUUGGGUUCUCGUAUGUUUUCAAAGAGAAGCCGAAGCUAUUAUACAGAAGCCAAUUUGAUGAGGGAAAGUGACAACAAAGAAAGAUUUCACAAAUCUUUCUCACUUUACCGAACAGUUAAAUCUUUCUCACUUUACCAAACAGUUGCAACCACAACACCAUCUUUCCAUCAAGGACAGGCAUGUUUCUAACUUGUACUCAUUAAACCAAUUUUAACCAUGCCCUUUCCCAAUUUAGAAACAAGACCAUGCUUUUUCCCCACAGUGCAGUAUUCCCUAGCCUCUUAAGGACAAGUAUGCCAUACUCCUUCUCCGGUCUGUCUACCUUACACCCACGUAUAAGUUGUUGGUGCUGUUGAAAUCCAUUGUUGUCAGACUGUAAACAUCGCGAAUGCUGCCAUUAGAUUGGAUGAGAAGGACUCUCAGGGUCGGACUCGAUUCAUUCUUGAGGUGAGGAAGAAAUGGAACUGGUGGGGUCUGUGUUGGACCAUGAGGCACGUGAAGUCUUCGUUCAUGUAUGCUUGAUUGGGACUCUGGCCCAUGAUUGAACCCCAUGUAGGACCUUUGCUUGUGGGGUUUGGAUAGAAGAGGAAGAAGAAACACUGAGAAAGAAUGGAACUGUGGGUGGCAGCUUCAGGGAAAACAUGGAAAGACUGGUGCCUACAUAUCUGCUGUGCUGUUGCACUACCACCACUGCACUGCCACUGUGGUUUCAACUCAAAAUCCUCAUUACCACGCUGCUAUUGGACAACUUUUGAGUGAUUCUCUUGUCCUUUUCUUCCUUAUUUUAUUGGGGAGCUGAUAAAUUACUUCGGUACUACUAUUGACCUUUUCGAAAAAUGACAAAACUUAGGUGCUAUUAUUUUACAAUAUUGCUACCAGAUUUUUAAUGAUUUUUUUACUUGGGAAAUCAUGUUAUCAUACGAAUGGUAACAUUCACCCAUGUGUCAUGGGAUUAUUUGAGAACUUUUUAAGAACACUUUGUAUUUAUUCAGAAGAUGGAAAAGAUUUAUCCCUAUGUUAGAAAACGAACGUAUGGUAAGCUGUAUUAUUUAAUUGCAAGGUAUGAAUUGGAUAACUCAUUUUUGGCA